CGUACACUCCUGCGGGAGGCAGCAGUGGGGAAUUUUGGACAAUGGGCGAAAGCCUGAUCCAGCCAUGCCGCGUGCAGGAUGAAGGCCUUCGGGUUGUAAACUGCUUUUGUACGGAACGAAACGGCCUUUUCUAAUAAAGAGGGCUAAUGACGGUACCGUAAGAAUAAGCACCGGCUAACUACGUGCCAGCAGCCGCGGUAAUACGUAGGGUGCAAGCGUUAAUCGGAAUUACUGGGCGUAAAGCGUGCGCAGGCGGUUAUGUAAGACAGUUGUGAAAUCCCCGGGCUCAACCUGGGAACUGCAUCUGUGACUGCAUAGCUAGAGUACGGUAGAGGGGGAUGGAAUUCCGCGUGUAGCAGUGAAAUGCGUAGAUAUGCGGAGGAACACCGAUGGCGAAGGCAAUCCCCUGGACCUGUACUGACGCUCAUGCACGAAAGCGUGGGGAGCAAACAGGAUUAGAAACCCGAGUAGUCCC
rnacentral:rRNA from 1 species